rnacentral:rRNA from 1 species
UGCUUCCUACGGGAGGCAGCAGUGGAGAAUAUUGCACAAUGGGGGAAACCCUGAUGCAGCGACGCCGCGUGAGUGAAGAAGUAAUUCGUUACGUAAAGCUCUAUCAGCAGGGAAGAGAAUGACGGUACCUGAGUAAGAAGCCCCGGCUAACUACGUGCCAGCAGCCGCGGUAAUACGUAGGGGGCAAGCGUUAUCCGGAUUUACUGGGUGUAAAGGGAGUGUAGACGGCAGCGCAAGUCUGGAGUGAAAUGCCGGGGCCCAACCCCGGAACUGCUCUGGAAACUGUGAAGCUGGAGUGCAGGAGG